rnacentral:rRNA from 1 species
GAUGAACGCUGGCGGCGUGCCUAAUACAUGCAAGUCGAGCGAACAGACGAGGAGCUUGCUCCUUUGACGUUAGCGGCGGACGGGUGAGUAACACGUGGAUAACCUACCUAUAAGACUGGGAUAACUUCGGGAAACCGGAGCUAAUACCGGAUAAUAUCUUGAACCGCAUGGUUCGAUAGUGAAAGACGGCUUUGCUGUCACUUAUAGAUGGAUCUGCGCCGCAUUAGCUAGUUGGUAAGGUAACGGCUUACCAAGGCAACGAUGCGUAGCCGACCUGAGAGGGUGAUCGGCCACACUGGAACGGAGACACGGUCCAGACUCCUACGGGAGGCAGCAGUAGGGAAUCGUCCGCAAUGGGCGAAAGCUUGACGGAGCAACGCCGCGUGAGUGAUGAAGGUCUUCGGAUCGUAAAACUCUGUUAUUAGGGAAGAACAAAUGUGUAAGUAACUGUGCACGUCUUGACGGUACCUAAUCAGAAAGCCACGGCUAACUACGUG